GACGAACGCUGGCGGCGUGCUUAACACAUGCAUGUCGAACGGAAAGGCCCUGCUUGCAGAGUACUCGAGUGGCGAACGGGUGAGUAACACGUGGGUGAUCUGCCCUGCACUUCGGGAUAAGCCUGGGAAACUGGGUCUAAUACCGGAUAGGAGCCAUUUUUAGUGUGAUGGUUGGAAAGUUUUUUCGGUGUAGGAUGAGCUCGCGGCCUAUCAGCUUGUUGGUGGGGUAAUGGCCUACCAAGGCGGCGACGGGUAGCCGGCCUGAGAGGGUGGACGGCCACAUUGGGACUGAGAUACGGCCCAGACUCCUACGGGAGGCAGCAGUGGGGAAUAUUGCACAAUGGGCGCAAGCCUGAUGCAGCGACGCCGCGUGGGGGAUGACGGCCUUCGGGUUGUAAACUCCUUUCGCUAGGGACGAAGCUUUUUGUGACGGUACCUAGAUAAGAAGCACCGGCUAACUACGUG
rnacentral:rRNA from 1 species